CAGCUCUGCCGGGGCCUCUACAAGCUGUUCCUGGGCACAGACUGCCUGAGCCUCUCAGACCUGAUGGCCGUGGUGCAGCUGUCCCUCCAGGCUGACCUCGGCGUCCGCCUGGACAUCUGUCGCAAGCUCUUCCACCUCUUCUACGGGCAGCCCGACGUCGUGCGGCUGCUGGCCCGGCAGGCUGGCUGGCAGGACCUCCU